AUAGCUCACGAGCUCGUUUACAGCCCCUCCUGACGACCACGCGGCGCUGCCCGGCGUCCGCCGUCGUCCCCGCACCUAGCAGAGGGGUCGCCUUCGCCCGAGGGCCCCACCCCGCGGGCUCGCGGCCGCCCUCAGUGCCCGUCGCCGAGCCAGCGCCGCGCUUCCUGUGGGAAAGUGGUAGCUCCACGCCGCGCCCUCCGGCUUCCUCCUCCUCGGCUCCAAUCCUCGACUACUCCCUGGUUCAGGGAUACAAGUAGAGUAAACUGAAGAAUAAAUCAGCAUAUUUUGCUCCAAUGUCAGAUAAACUCCUCCAUAACCGUGGAAAUUCGAGCUAGUACAUUGAACAAAAGAAAGAAACCGCCUAUGGAACUAUCCAAGUCAACUUCUCACAGUCACAGUUCAGUCUCUCAAUGGUUCAAUAUGCCAUCCGUGAACCAAUCUUCUUUCACUAGGCAAUCUUGUUCAGAAUUGCUGUGUUUUAUCCUAACCUCCAAGAUUUACCUGUGCCCAUGGUGAAGGCCUUGAGCCUCCCAUAGAGCAUGACAAAGAUCAGCAUCAACUUCCCUUCGUUGCUCCACCAUCCAGAAAAGCUGUAUGGCUUGUCAUGGCAGAUGCUCUCCGGGUGCAGCUGUUGCAGCCUCGAACAACUGUAACCAGUGGACAGUCCUGCGUUGCCGUAUGCACUGUGUAGAUAAAAUAUUUCCCUAACUCAGAACAUCAUGAUUUAAAAUAUUUCCAAAGCUAAUUUAUUGUGAUGACAUGUCUUACAACAUGAGCUGCUUUCUGUCGUUUUUGCAGGGUAAGUACAGACUAAUAGAAGAACAUGGAUCGCAUGAGAAGAGAGAACACACCUGAUGACCUCAAAUAUCAUGUUCAACGUGGAGAAGUUGAGUGGGUCAUUUCUGAGCCUUCUCCUCUCAGUGAUGCAGACAACCAUCACAAAGAUGAUGUUGCACCCAAGCUGCGAAAAUGCUAAGUUCUGCACCAAAGAUCUCCGUUUGGCAAGUAAAUUUUCAGGCUCUUGUUGUCAGGUUCUAAAGCAUGGAGUGCUAGAUGGAUAUUGUGCCAAUAACUUACAUCAUGACGAUUAAUAGCACUAGAACGGCAGGGGAGAUAAGUGAGCAGUCGAUGGAAUUCUCCCCUGCAUGCCUCGUGUUCACUGCCAUGAACAAUGCAUUGAUGAUCUUCUGGUAAGAGCUGAGCCCAUCGAACACCAAAGAAUUCCAGUCGAUGGCGGAGAACAGCACGACAGCCAAUGCUGCAAGGCCGACAACUGUUGAGGAGAGAAACGCCGUCAGCAACUUGGGAAGCAGAUGACGAAACCGCAGCUCCUUGGGGUUCCUGAUCAUGAGCUCCAGCCCUUCCAACUUGGUCACUCUCCCCAGGAACCAUAUCAGCAGCCUCAGGAAGAGAGGGAACAGCGUGUUGCCUGCAAGAACCUGGCCGGUGAGGAGCAGGAGGAGGCCGGCAUUCUUGGAGAAGAUGGUCAUGUUCUCGUUCGUCGGCACAAGCCCGCCGUUAGCGAAGGAGGAGACGGUGACCGACACCGAGAAGAGAGCAACAUUGAUCCCUUUCUUGGUCAGUACCGCCCUUGCAGUUGGCACAUGGGUUAUGUACAAGAAAACUAGCAGAAAGCCAAGGACAUGGAUAACAGCAAGGUAGCCGAACACAACGAAUCCUAAGUAUCUUACGCUCCUACUCUUCUUCAGAUCAUUACUACUCAAAGACGGAGUUGCAUGCAUUUCUUCUUCAAGCUGCAACUCCUCGCAGAUGAUUGCACUCGCGGUAUCUAUCGUUUCGUGCUCGACAGCAACUGAACUGACCUUGUUGUUGCCUGCAGGAUCAGUUGGCUUGGCUCGGUGGUUCGGCCUAAGCAUGAGUCCUAAGAAAGAGACGAAGACCUCGCCCCCUACAAACAUCAGCAAGGUCAGGACUACGAUCUGAGUACUCGAGAGGUCCUCCAUUUUGACGGUGCUGAGGCCGGAAACUGUCAGAGCAGAGGUUGACAAGAACAGCAUGUCGACAUAUCGAGGGCUGAAGUCAGGGUUGUUUGGUUUCAGAGAUAUCAAGAGGACUGAACCUAAUAGAUCGAUGACUAGGAAGUAGGAUAAUUGAAUGAAGAAUGGGUGAAGAUGUGAUGCAACAAAUCGGCAGACAAACACGAAAAGAUCAAGAACAUAUCUACUGAUGCAAAUGAAGCUGUGCAUCUUGCUGUGGAUGAACUCAUAGUGGAAUCCCUCCAUCUGAUCUACGGGGCUGCGCAUAUGUGACAGGUGUAGGGCUGAAUGGCAUGCUAUUUAUAUGGUAGCUUGAUGUAACGACGAGAGUUAAUAAAACUAUUUUUUCUAAAAAAUAA